CUGAGACACGAAUCCAGGCCCUACGGGGUGCAGCAGGCGCGAAAACUUUACAAUGCCGGCAACGGCGAUAAGGGGACCUCGAGUGCCAGGUUACAAAUCUGGCUGUCGUGAUGCCUAAAAAGCAUUGCAUAGCAAGGGCCGGGCAAGACCGGUGCCAGCCGCCGCGGUAACACCGGCGGCUCGAGUGGUAACCGUUAUUAUUGGGUCUAAAGGGUCUGUAGCCGGCCGGAUAAGUCUCUUGAGAAAUCCAGCAGCUCAACUGUUGGGCUUUCAGGAGAUACUGUUCGGCUCGAGGCCGGGAGAGGUGAGAGGUACUUCAGGGGUAGGGGUGAAAUCUUGUAAUCCUUGAAGGACCACCAGUGGCGAAGGCGUCUCACCAGAACGGACCUGACGGCAAGGGACGAAAGCUAGGGGCACGAACCGGAUUAGAUACCCGGGUAGUCCUAGCCGUAAACGAUACUCGCUAGGUGUCGGCCACGGUGCGACCGUUGUCGGUGCCGUAGGGAAGCCGUGAAGCGAGC
rnacentral:rRNA from 1 species